CUGAAUUUUGGUCACAGAAAGUUGUAACAGUGAAAAACGGACCUAAGUCACUUUUUUCAGUGCCGUUGUAACUUUGAACCGCCGCUAAAUGAACUGUUGUAAGUCG